rnacentral:rRNA from 1 species
AACGAACGCUGGCGGCAGGCUUAACACAUGCAAGUCGAACGCAUCCUUCGGGGUGAGUGGCAGACGGGUGAGUAACGCAUGGGAACGUGCCCUGCAGUUCGGAAUAACCCAGGGAAACUUGGGCUAAUACCGGAUACGUGCGAGAGCAGAAAGAUUUAUCGCUGAAGGAUCGGCCUGCGUAUGAUUAGCUAGUUGGUGAGGUAAUGGCUCACCAAGGCGACGAUCAGUAGCUGGUCUGAGAGGAUGAUCAGCCACAUUGGGACUGAGACACGGCCCAAACUCCUACGGGAGGCAGCAGUGGGGAAUAUUGGACAAUGGGCGCAAGCCUGAUCCAGCCAUGCCGCGUGAGUGAUGAAGGCCUUAGGGUUGUAAAGCUCUUUCAGUGGGGACGAUAAUGACGGUACCCGCAGAAGAAGCCCCGGCUAACUUCGUGCCAGCCGCCGCCGUAA